AUGAUCACCCUUCCAACAAGGGCCAAGAAAUCCACUCUGGUUCCAGCCUUGCCUGACUUUGCAAGUGUUUUGACUGGUAAAACCUGGCUGAAAUCCACCACAGCUCCUUCCAUUGCACUGCGCUGGCCCAUCACAUUGAGGCUUGGCUUUGGAGAGGACUUCUUUCGCUCUCAGACCCCAGAGCGUUCUUGGAUGAGAAGGGGGCUGUCAGAUACUCUUCAGGCUACGAUGUUGAGGAGACUCAUUACUGGGUUGGUGAAAGAUCACUCAGAUGGGUCAAUGUUGGGCAGACUAAAUCUGAGUCUGAGUUGUGCUGGCCAGAUAGGCUCCACCCAGAGUGACAUGUUGCCACUCACGUUUCCCUACCACCUGCGCUUAUUCUAGUUCUAUAGGGCUCUACAGUACAAGCAGUUCUAAGCCGGCAAACUGACCUCGUAGCGAACCUCCAACCUGAAACCAAAUGUCAUUUGUCUACUAUUCACCUGAUCUCUCGCUCUUCUUAACAAAAAAACUAUUAACGUAUCUACUCGAUCAUAAGCUGGUUCGUUUAUAAGCCGACCCCCCACAAGAUGGAUAAGUAAAAAUGGAAAAUGUUUAUAACCCAUUCAGAAGCUGACCCUAUAAUUCAGGGGUUAGCAAAUUUUGGCUCCCGGGCCAACAGGAUAAGCCACUGGUGGUCCAAGAUGGUUUGUUUACCUCAAGCGUCCACAGCCACGGAGGUAAACGUAAGUAAACAAAGUGUCCUGGCACGCCAGCUGCUAACCCUGAUGGGCCGGAACAGCAACUGGUGGGGAAAUUUUUGGGUGGGGAGAAGCUGGGAGUCAGGUGAAUAACCCCUGUAACCACCUCCCACAUGACCCAUCCCUAGCCCGGGACCCCCCCCACUCUCCCCAUCUACGAUGACCAGACAGCAAGUGUGAAAAAUCGGGACGGGGAUGAGGGGUAAUAGGAGCCUAUAUAAGAAAAAGACCCAAAAAUUGGGACUGUCCCUAUAAAAUCGGGACAUCUGGUCACCCUAUCCCCAUCCCAUCCCUUCCCACCUUAUCUGGGGAGGGCCAGGGGAGGAUGUCUCUGGCCUGGCUGGAGCUGCUCCAGCAAGCUGGGCAGAGUGGCCGCAGCCUGCUCUGGCGCCUGGGCAGCAUGGCCGCAGCAUGUUCUGGGUGGUGGGGCUGAGCGGCAGGGCUGCAGCCUGCCAGCCCUGGAGCUGCAGCUGCUUUGGAGGCUGCGGGGAGAGCAGCGUGGCCAGAAGUGGAGAGACUCUGGCCCAGCCUCUUCCCUUCUGGCUGUGCUGGCUGUGCUGCCUCUCCUUGCUCCCUCUGUUGGGAGGAGGGGCUGGGUCCCACCUCUCCUUCUCUAUACCUACCUGUUCAUAAGCCGCUCCCUG
rnacentral:lncRNA from 1 species